CUUCUUGAAUUAAUUGGGAGUCGGGUCUGUCCACUGAUAAUUAUUUGAAGGGCCGCGGUAUAUUGACCGUGCAAAGGUAGCAUAAUCAUUAGUUUUUUAAUUGGGAACUGGAAUGAAUGGUUUGACGAGAUGAUUAAUGUCUCUGAUAUAAUUAAUUGAAUUUUACUUUUGAGUUAAAAGGCUUAAAUAUUAAUGAGGGACGAUAAGACCCUAUAGAUCUUUAUAAUAUCUUAUAUAUUAUUGUUUUGGUUGUUAUAUUAUAAAUUUUAUUAAUUUUAUUAUUUUGUUGGGGUGAUGUGAGAAUAUAAAAACUUCUUAAUUUUUAACUUUGAUUAUUGAAUUUAAGAUCCUAUAUUAUGGAAUAAAGAUUAAGAUACCUUAGGGAUAACAGCGUAAUUUUAUUGGAAAGUUCUUAUUGAUAAUGGAGAUUGCGACCUCGAUGUUGGAUUAAGAAAAUAUAUUGAUGUAGGUGUUAAUAUUAUUGGUCUGUUC
rnacentral:rRNA from 1 species